UAUGUAUUUAUUUUAUUUUAUUUUUUGAGUAGGAAUCUCACUCUGUUGCCCAGGCCAGAGUGCAGUGGCACACU
rnacentral:snoRNA from 1 species